rnacentral:lncRNA from 1 species
GUACAUGUCUGCUUUGGCUGGACCAUUCUCUAAUGGCAGUGAGGGGUGGAUGGUGUGAUAGUCAGCAGGAUUCCCGUUCACUGUUACCAGCAGAACAUCCGAUGGCUUGUAUUCAUCUUGGGUCAUUGACAGAAGUUUUCUCUCAUCAGUUGUAUAGUGGCUUGCGUACCACAGACUGCGUCUUCUCUCUGCUGUCAUUGGAAUUGGGCUGCAGGGUAUCUCUUUGUCAUCUUCCCUGCUCUCAGAUUUCUC